AUGAGAAUGAGGAGGAGGAGGGGGGGUAGAACAACAACGACUGUGAGGGAAAGUUUUGGCAAGACUACGUUUAAAGAGUUAUAAGUGCUUAUCCUGUUCAGGGUUGGGGCGAGCUGGAGCCUAUUCCAGCUGCUUUGAGACGUAAAGCAGGCUACAUCCUGGACUGGUCGCCCGUCAGUUGCAGUGCACAUAAUAUAAAUGUGGCAGCCUUCAAGGAUUUUCCCAAUGUUCAUUUGACUCAUGGAGGUCAGCAUGGCUCUGAAAGCAACAGCUAUAGCAGAGCACCGACAUUUGAGAUGGCGAGGGACCAUGCAGAGCCCAGUCUAGGAGGCUGAUUCUCAAGAUGUGUUGGUGAAACUUAGUUUCCAGAAGAACUAAGGUAGGAACUGCAAGUAUUUUCAUUGCACAAGACCUAAGUUACUCAGCAAUGUCUCCACUUAAUGGUACACUUCCAUUUAACUUUCCCCGUUAAGUCCUGAUUGGCAGAACUGUAUGGAUCUGUCAUUUGUAUUGUGUAAAUGUACAGUAUAUGGGCAAUUUCUCUGUUCUCUGUUGGGAACCACACUUGAGAUGUGAGCCAAAAAUUGGGAUUUUUGAUACAUGGUGAUUAUCUACAACUGUGCAUUUGUAGUUCCAAAUGUAGUUGACUCUGUGCUUGCGCUGUCUUGUGAUGGCACUAAAGUUAGCUACGAACUAAUGCCAGGGUACGAGGUACGGAAAGCCAAAUGAACACUGCAUUUACUUGAUGUUAAUGGAAACACAUGCUGUAAGUUCUCAUGAUGUGGUUAAACUGUAAUAAGUGUAUUAUUUGUAUUAAAAUUUUACAUGUUAAGCAGACUUAAGAUCUUAAUGUAUGCCAGAAAUGGUAUCAUUUACUAUAUUUUGAGGAAUCUAUCACAUUUUUCGUUAUGGAUUCAAUUGUUUUAUAUGGUGGUCAUCAACAACUGCAUUUCG